UACGGCUUCUUUGAGAAGAGAAUACAAUACU
rnacentral:piRNA from 1 species